rnacentral:rRNA from 1 species
UACGGAGGGAGCUAGCGUUGUUCGGAAUUACUGGGCGUAAAGCGCACGUAGGCGGCUUUGUAAGUUAGAGGUGAAAGCCCGGGGCUCAACCCCGGAAUUGCCUUUAAGACUGCAUCGCUUGAAUCCAGGAGAGGUGAGUGGAAUUCCGAGUGUAGAGGUGAAAUUCGUAGAUAUUCGGAAGAACACCAGUGGCGAAGGCGGCUCACUGGACUGGUAUUGACGCUGAGGUGCGAAAGCGGGGGGAGCAAACAGG